rnacentral:sRNA from 1 species
AGUGCAGGCCGAGCCCUGCGUCCCUGCCUCGCUGGGUGGGGGUCCGGGGCGCGGCUGUCCACAGGGCCGCCUCCUCCUGCGGCCCGCGGGGAAGGGGCGCAUCCCACCCCGCUCUGCAGGCCGCCCUUCUGCCAGCUGGGAGGCGAGGGCACACGUCCUAAGCCUGCCCAAGGGGGGAGAGGAAUCGCGCCGGUAGGAGAGCGCACGGGAACCAGGAACGCAAGGCGGGCACAGGGGAGCCGAAGGAGCCAGACAGGGCCCGGCCACGCGCCCUCCUCGCUCGGCUGCGCUCCGUGACGGGAACCCAGGCUCCCACGCACGGGGAAUGCCUAGAACGGAGCUAGAAUGGAGGCCCCUUUGUGUGACUAAAUUUGGCAAGAAUAUGGAUCUGAGCCAGUCUUUCCACGUGUGCUCCCAGCUCCCAGCUGAGAAGGCCAAGGGUUCUCUUCCGGGUAAGGAGACAGGGAGAAAGAUCAAAGAGUUUGGGGAGCUGGAUCUGAAAUGUGAAUUGAAAAUAAAAAUCAAGCCUGGACACAUUCCAGUUUCUAAAGCAAAACCAACCCUCAGCAGAGGCCGGCUCUCUAUAUAGCUCUCUUUCUUUCUCGCUCUGCUCCCUUUGACUCUUUUCUGUGACCAUUCUUGAGCACAUGGUAUAAAAUAAAGAGAACAUAGGGAAACAGUUUCUCUAUAUUUCGUUUUGGAGUAAUUUUAUUAGGGAAAAUAUCUUGUUCAUAAUUACCGGUAUGUGAAGCCGAAUUUCCUUAGCCGUAAAUACUGUCUUAUUUCAGCAUGCUUCGCACUUUCUUCUGCGGCCACAUUUGGGAAGAGAACGUUGACACAACACGUGUGGAUAUGUUCGUUGUGUAUAAUGGUCCUUUUUUUCUACACAUGAUAUGGUGCACCGUAUAGUUUUCUUUCACAGAAGUUAGAUUCUGGAAAACCAAUGUUAAAUUUUUAUCAAAGUACUUACUGUCACAGUUGAUCUCUGUGAUUUGAAACCCUCUCGUCGAUAGACUGCAGAGAUCUUUUCCUAGAGGCCACUCACCAGUCUGAAACCUUUGUGUUUUUAUGGUUAAAAAACUGUAGGACCCUUCACUUCUGUUGUUAAUGGAAGUAACUAAAAGAAAGAGACAGCUUUGAAAUACUGUGAUACGAAGAGUCAGAAAUCCUGGGUUGGAGAUGGGCCCUGCCACUCCCUCUCAUGCCAUUGGUAACCUUAGGCAAGCCAUUUAACCUCUCCCAGAGUCUGUUUCCUCUCCGAAAAAAUGGAUAUAAUAAUACCGUACUAUUAAGUGAGAUAAUGCAUAUGAAAGUAUGUACAAAUGUAAGGUAUUAUUAGUCCAUGAAGCAAAGACGAUCCUUUUAAGGGGAUCUGUUAAGUUGCAAAACCAAAAACUUCUGAAGCUCUAGAAACCCUUACCACAGGAGCAAAUGGGGACAGUGUUACGCUCUCGCGUCCAUGCUAUGACCAUCUCCACGCCUCCAUCAGUUGUGUUACAAAGGCUACCAAAAUCACUGAAGCAGUUGUUACCCCCAAGUGAGUGUGAUGAGAGAACAUUUUCAGAACGGGGUGAAUGUGCCUUAACUCGUGUUUAUGUUGGGCUCUUAAUGAAUUCGUAAAUGAAUGAAGAAAAUAACACUGAAAACAAUAUCUUCUUGUGAGACAUUUAACACACAUUACAGCAGCUCUGAAAACAGUCUUAGUAUAAUGGCUUGAGAAAGCAGUAAUGUUUAUGUGGAUAAAAUACCCCCAACAACAGUUGUAAGGACUCACAGGUGGGGAGAGUGACUAGAAAGGUAUAUAAGAGUUGUUUCUUGGGACUGUGUGAGUGCCACAAAAAUCUAUGUUUUAGAAUAGACUGUGAUUAUGUAUCCCAGACAGAGGUAUCUCAAGUUUACAAUGCAGUAAAGAUUAUUGCUAGGGCUGGCUGGGAAGUGACAGGAGUACCACAGGUGUAGUGCAUAGGGCAUUUAGCUGAAUGUACUUCAGUGUGAUCCUUUCUAACCUAAGGUAACCCCACCAAGGGAGCCAUUUCCUGGGCUCAUUGGGAGCCAUUUUCCAAUAUAAGCUUUUCAGUGUGACCUGUAUACAAAGUUAUGAAAGCAGCAGGGCUGGGAGGUGGGUGGGGUUCCAGGGUUCCUAGGUCCCUUUGGCAUGGCCCAAGGCUGCCCAGGGUGCAGACUCCUCCUGAGAUGCUCCAUCUCCUUCAGCUGCCUCCUGCCAGAAGCAACCCUCAGCCUUUGCCAAUUGUAUGGAAGGGACUCUAUAGCAAUUUUAAUUGGCACUUAGAAAGCACCUUCUAUUUUCUUUUUUCUUUUUUUUCUUUUUUUUUUUUUUUUUUUUGAGAAGGAGUCUCACUUUGUCGCCCAGGCGGGAGUGCAGUGGCACGAUCUGGGCUCACUGCAACCACCACCUUCCAGGUUCAAGCGAUUCUCCUGCCUCAGCCUCCCAAGUAGCUGGGAUUAUAGGCACUUGCCACCAUGCCCGGCUAAUUUUUGUAUUUUUAGUAGAGACGGGGUUUCGCCGUAUUGGCCAGGCUGGUCUCAAAUUUCAAACCUCAGGUGAUCCGCCUACCUCGGCUUCCCAAAGUGCUGGGAUUACAGGUGUGAGCCACCGCGCCCGGCCAAGCACCUUCUAUUUUCAAUGUACCUUUUCCCAAAUGUCCUAAAUUAAAAGUGGAUGUUGAUCAAGUUCACUGGUCAACUUCAAUUCUUCCUUUCUCUUUUCUUUACAGAUGCAGCCUUUUUGAAAUUUAUUCUUGGCCAAAAGAGGAAGAUAGUUCAAGGAUUCUAUCUUGCUUUUGGGGGGCAAUGGAGAGACCCUGAAAACACUUAAGGAAAACCUGAGGCCUUCUAUAAGAAAAUAAACUCCCUGAAAGGGGAGGCAGGGCCAAGGAAUUUACUUAUUUUUAUAAAUCUCUUUCCUGGGUGGAUAUGGUAAUGGAUGUGUUUCUUGAAUUGUGGUAAAUGUACCUCAUAAAAUGGAUGGACUGGGGCUAUAUUCUCAGGCUUCCUGGGCUCUGUUGGCAUUGGGCAAGCACGUAAUGCCUGGUUUGAGGCUAGAAGCCAAAGCCACAACCUUCUUGCAGUACCAACUGAGCCAUAGGGAGAUUAAUGCAGAACAAGGUCGUUAGUCUCAUUGUUUAUCCAGUUACUAGCCGCAUAGAUUUUGUGUAAAUUUCAGCUACAGUGGUUGCAGCCUGCCUUUGAUGUGUGUAAUCUGUACAUUUUAGUGCUCCAGGAAAGUACCUGAUUGACAAGAUCUACAUCCAAUGCCCAGAAAACACAUCCUACACAGGCACAGUGAAGCGUGGAGUUGAAGAAUUUUCCAGUGAGUUCCAUCAAAGUAAAUAAACCAACCUAGAGCAUCAG